GAUGAACGCUGGCGGCGUGCUUAACACAUGCAAGUCGAGCGUAGCACUUUGGAAAGAUUCUUCGGAUGAUUUCCUUUGUGACUGAGCGGCGGACGGGUGAGUAACGCGUGGGUAACCUGCCUCAUACAGGGGGAUAACAGUUAGAAAUGACUGCUAAUACCGCAUAAGACCACGGUACCGCAUGGUACAGUGGUAAAAACUCCGGUGGUAUGAGAUGGACCCGCGUCUGAUUAGGUAGUUGGUGGGGUAACGGCCUACCAAGCCGACGAUCAGUAGCCGACCUGAGAGGGUGACCGGCCACAUUGGGACUGAGACACGGCCCAGACUCCUACGGGAGGCAGCAGUGGGGAAUAUUGCACAAUGGAGGAAACUCUGAUGCAGCGACGCCGCGUGAAGGAUGAAGUAUUUCGGUAUGUAAACUUCUAUCAGCAGGGAAGAAAAUGACGGUACCUGACUAAGAAGCCCCGGCUAACUACGUGCCAGCCGCCGCAGUAACAC
rnacentral:rRNA from 1 species